rnacentral:rRNA from 1 species
AGUCCACGCCGUAAACGAUGUCGACUUGGAGGUUGUGCCCUUGAGGCGUGGCUUCCGGAGCUAACGCGUUAAGUCGACCGCCUGGGGAGUACGGCCGCAAGGUUAAAACUCAAAUGAAUUGACGGGGGCCCGCACAAGCGGUGGAGCAUGUGGUUUAAUUCGAUGCAACGCGAAGAACCUUACCUACUCUUGACGUCCAGAGAACUUAGCAGAGAUGCUUUGGUGCCUUCGGGAACUCUGAGACAGGUGCUGCAUGGCUGUCGUCAGCUCGUGUUGUGAAAUGUUGGGUUAAGUCCCGCAACGAGCGCAACCCUUAUCCUUUGUUGCCAGCGGUUAGGCCGGGAACUCAAAGGAGACUGCCAGUGAUAAACUGGAGGAAGGUGGGGAUGACGUCAAGUCAUCAUGGCCCUUACGAGUAGGGCUACACACGUGCUACAAUGGCAUAUACAAAGAGAAGCGACCUCGCGAGAGCAAGCGGACCUCAUAAAGUAUGUCGUAGUCCGGAUUGGAGUCUGCAACUCGACUCCAUGAAGUCGGAAUCGCUAGUAAUCGUGGAUCAGAAUGCCACGGUGAAUACGUUCCCGGGCCUUGUACACACCGCCCGUCACACCAUGGGAGUGGGUUGCAAAAGAAGUAGGUAGCUUAACCUUCGGGAGGGCGCUUACCACUUUGUGAUUCAUGACUGGGGUGAAGUCGUAA